GUCGCUCUCCUUGAAAGCUUAGCAAAGUCCUAGAGCCAGGCCUCCAAAGUCCGGGAGAACGAGAAGAACGAGAAGAGUGUCAAUGUUAAGGAGACUUGAAGUCCUGGCUGCCAGUGGGAUGACUCUCAGGAGUAGCAGAUCCAGUGACUCUGGAAAGACCCAAGAUUCCCCCGAACCCCGGUUUAUGGCACGAAGACAACUGCAUCAACUCAGACAGACUCUGGAGACUAAAAUAAAAACAAAUCUCCCCAAGCUAA